CCUACGGGAGGCAGCAGUGAGGAAUUUUCCGCAAUGGGCGAAAGCCUGACGGAGCAAUGCCACGUGGAGGAGGAAGGCCUGUGGGUCGUAAACUCCUUUUCUCAGAGAAGAAGUUCUGACGGUAUCUGAGGAAUAAGCAUCGGCUAACUCUGUGCCAGCAGCCGCGGUAAUACAGGGGAUGCAAGCGUUAUCCGGAAUUAUUGGGCGUAAAGCGUCCUGAGGUGGCUUACCCAGUCGACUGUGAAAGCUCAAGGCUUAACCUUGAAACGGCAGUCGAAACUUGUAAGCUUGAGUACGGUAGGGGCAGAGGGAAUUCCCGGAGGAGAGGUGAAAUUCGUAGAUAUCGGGAGGAAGGCCAAAGGCGAAAGCACUCUGCUGGGCCGAUUACUGACACUGACAGACGAAAGCUAGGGGAGCGAAAGGGAUUAGAUACCCCUGUAGUCCUAGCCGUAAACGAUGGAUACUAAGUGUUGCGCGACUCAAAACGUGCAGUGCUGCAGCUACGACGGUAAGUACUCCGCCGUGGGUAGGUAGUGCCGCCGACGGGUAGGAAACGUUAAAGUAGUAAGUUAGUACGGUUCGUUGUAGACGUUGCCGACGGCGACCGACGAGGGGAGGUUAGG
rnacentral:rRNA from 1 species